GCUCCAAUUGAAGUCCCAGUAUCUUCUGACAAGUUUUGGCUGCUAACAGAGAAUAAACAUUUAUCACUUCCAUCUCCUUUUGAUAAUAAAGGAAACUAUGUAAUCAGAUUCCUGUAAAAUUCCACAUGCCUUUUGCUGCUUGCUAUUGGCUGACUAGCCUUUCCCUUGAAUAUACAUUUACACAUGGCAGCUUGAGCCAGUUGGUUCGCUGGAUGGCUGCAAAAGCUGAAGAAUUAGGUGUAGAAAUUUAUCCAGGUUUUGCUGCUAGCGAGAUUCUGUAUGAUGAAAAUCACAGGGUUGUUGGGAUUGGGACUAAUGACAUGGGUAUUGCAAAAGAUGGAUCGAGAAAGGAAACAUUUCAAAGAGGCGUUGAUUUAAAAGGGAAGCUUACAUUUCUUGCUGAAGGAUGUAGAGGUUCAUUAUCAGAGAAAUUAAUCAGGAAAUAUAAACUUCGAGAAAAGGGACAAGGACAACAUCAAACGUAUGCAUUAGGCAUUAAAGAGGUUUGGGAAAUUGAAGAAGAGAAACAUAAGCCUGGCGCUGUGCUUCAUACUAUUGGAUGGCCUUUAGAUAGAAAAACAUAUGGUGGAACAUUCUUGUACCACAUGAAAGACAGGCAGGUAUCUGUCGGCUUAGUUAUUGCCUUAAAUUAUCACAAUCCAUACUUGAGCCCGUUUGAUGAAUUUCAGAAAUUCAAGCAUCACCCUUCAAUCAAAUCACUUUUGGAAGGAGGAACCGUUCUUCAAUACGGCGCCCGCACUCUGAAUGAAGGUGGUUUUCAGUCCAUUCCUUAUCCUGUUUUUCCUGGAGGAGCUAUUAUUGGUUGCUCUGCAGGCUUCAUAAACGUGCCUAAGAUAAAGGGUACACAUACAGCCAUGAAAUCAGGAAUGCUGGCAGCAGAAGCAGCAUUCAAUGUCCUUUUUGAAGGUUCUCAAUUGGAAACAUACUGGGACAGUCUUAAGAAAUCCUGGAUAUGGGAGGAGCUGUACAGAGCACGAAAUUAUCGCCCAGCAUUUGAAUAUGGUUUGCUGCCUGGUUUAGCCUUCUCUGCAUUGGAGCGUUAUAUUUUCAGGGGAAACUUGCCUUUGACACUAAAGCAUGGGAAACCUGAUCAUGAAGCAACAGAAAUCGCAAGUCAUCAUACUCCGAUCCCGUAUCCAAAGCCAGAUGGACUGUUAUCUUUUGAUGUGCCAACUUCACUGUACAGGAGCAACACGAAUCAUGAACAUGACCAACCUGCCCAUCUAAGAUUGAGGGACCCGAAUGUUCCUCAGCUUGUAAACUUGCCAAAAUUUGAAGGACCAGAGUCCCGGUAUUGCCCGGCUCGUGUGUACGAGUAUGUCCCAGAUGAGAAGCUUGGCCACAAGCUCCAAAUCAAUGCUCAAAACUGCCUUCAUUGCUUGUGAUAUUAAAGAUCCAAAACAGAAUAUUGAGUGGACGCUGCCCGAAGGAGGUGGUGGUCCAGGCUAUACUAUUAUGUAGAUCUUUGGUCUACAUCUCUGCUUUCUGAAAAUCGCAUUUCCUUUUCCAAUAAAGGCAUGCUAACCUUAAUAGAAGCAUAAUUGCAACAAGCAUCUGAAGAUUCUCAGAAAAAAAAAUGAAGGUAAAGCAUAAAGCCAUGGGCUAGGCAAAGUUGCAGCACAGCUUUCCCACUACCUGCGGUAAAGGUUUAAGGUCUGCUUUAACAUUAUUACAUUGACUCUUCUUUGUUGUUAAAUCAGAUGAACUUUUAAAAAAAUAUGUUGUUAAGGCUUUGUUUAGAACAAUUUUCCUACUGCAGCAGUUUUUAAUAUAAUUUUUUUUUUAGAAAAUAAUAAAAAAAACUGUCACAAAUAAAUCCUAAGAUAAUUUAUAGAUUUCCUUUU